UGGGUAACCUGCCUCAAAGAGGGAAAUAGCCUCCCGAAAGGGAGAUUAAUACCGCAUAAUAUGUUUCGGUCACAUGGCCUUAACAUCAAAGGAUUUUUUCGGAAAUCCACUUUGAGAUGGACCCGCGGCGCAUUAGCUAGUUGGUGAGGUAACGGCUCACCAAGGCGACGAUGCGUAGCCGACCUGAGAGGGUGAUCGGCCACAUUGGAACUGAGACACGGUCCAGACUCCUACGGGAGCAG
rnacentral:rRNA from 1 species